AGCUUUGCAUAGUGGCAGUAUCGUAGCCAAUGAAGUUUAUCCAAGGCAUGAUGAUUGCUAAUUAAAACAAUGUUGAAAUUAGAAGAUAAAGAUUUUAAAGGAACUACUAUAACUACAUUCAAGUG
ensembl:snRNA U4 U4 spliceosomal RNA